rnacentral:sRNA from 1 species
AUGUACCACUCGUACACUGCGGUUCCUGCGCGCCGUCCGCGCCCACCUGACGGCUGCUCGCGGCACGGUGAUCC